rnacentral:lncRNA from 1 species
UCGUCUUCCGGCAGACAUCCUGCCACUACGCAGGCGCAGUUCAUCGACACUGCCUCUGCUUUGCGCGGGAAUUUUGGAGGCGCUGGUGUCUCUGAAAUGGCACAGAACGCGGACCCCGAGCUCGUGGUCAACAGGAGCGGAAGCCCUGGCCUGGACCGAGGCCUUCCCGAAGUGAGGAAGCUCCGCCCCGCCCCUUGCCCGUCUCCCGGCCUGGGCUCCUAAAGCUAGCACUGGAGUGGCCCGGGACUCCCUCGGCCCCCUACUCCUUCCUUGGUCCUCCCCUUGUUCCUUCCCCUCCCUCCGUCCCUCUCCCUUACCUUAUCUCACCCCCCUCCCCGUUCCUUUUUGUGUCCGUGCGCCCAUUCUCUUUUACUCCCUCUCUGCCCUCCCCGCCCCCAUCCUGCGUUGUCAGUCGCCCAGCAUCUAUUAAUUGCCUAUGGAGUGCUAAGUGCUGGGGGAACUAAGAAAAGCAAAAGGAGCCCCUGGCCUUGGAGCAUCUAAUGGGAUAGACAGCCUGCAAAGGUUUCUGUGCAAACAGGAUACCGACAGAUUAAAUUGGAGAGGAAGGCACCAGAAUUAAGAGGGCUUGAAAAACAUCUCUUUGAUGAUAGUAUUUUAGCUUCUAUAUGAAGGAGGUGUAGAUGUGGAGGGCUAGCAUUCAGCCAUAAAGAGUCUUGGGGAAGGCCAGUGUAUCUCAGAGUAUUGAGAGUUUGGAGGGAGUUUAAGGUAUAAGAAGGCUCACCACUGUCAAACCUUCCCUGCCCCCCACCUCCCACACCCCUUUCUACUCCAAUCCAAAACCUCAAGCUUAAAGCAAAAUUUAGUACUCCACACAUAGUGCUCAAUAGAUGAAUUUUCUUUAAUUCCUAAUGUGCUGGGGCCUGGGAAUGUAAAGAAAAAGGAAAAACAGAAUCUGCCCUCCUCCUCCCUCAGCCCCUCUCCACUCUCUGUACUUCAUCUAUCAUACAUUUUAUAGCACCAACUGUGAGUCAGACACCAUGUUAGGUUCUGUGGAUACAAAGACAAAAAUAAUUCCUACUCUCAUUCCACUCUUCUUCUCUAUCUCUCUCAAAUCUUACCUUUCCCUCAUCUUUAUUCCUUUUACUGGAUCUUCCAGUCCCUUCUAUGACUUCUCAUUGCC